AGAUCUCAGAUUUUGCUCAUGUUCAGAGUCAUGCAUAUGGCACGGAGAUAGUGGGAAGAAUUUCUCCUCCCUGAUAUGUGACAAUGAGAAAAAUGGCAAUAGGACUCAGCUGUUCAUUAGCUGUCUUCCAUCACCUGUGUCCUGGAUGCAACUGAAUUGUACAUUACCCAAGAAAUAUCAGACGACAGAAAAUGUUUCAAAAUUUUGCAUUUUACCUGUUUGGCAGCCUUAUCAAUGUUUCAAGUGUUGAAAGUGCUGUAAAGUAGGCAAUAUUCAAUGGAAAUGAAACAAUUGGAAAAUCUGAUGACUCCAAAAGUUAAUAUUUGUGGAAACAAAGUAGAUAUGCCACAUUUUUUAUCCUAGGUAAAUGCAAACUUAUAGCUUAUUAUAACACCACAGGAUAUAAAAAAGCAUUCUGUCAGUUGAAGCCAUGCACAAUCUCAGAA